GACGAACCGAGCGAACGUUGUUCGGAAUCACUGGGCUUAAAGGGCGCGUAGGCGGGUGCUCAAGUCCGUGGUGAAAUCCUCCGGCUCAACCGGAGAACUGCCUCGGAUACUGGGCGUCUCGAGUGUGGUAGGGGUAUGCGGAACUCCAGGUGGAGCGGUGAAAUGCGUAGAUAUCUGGAGGAACACCGGUGGCGAAAGCGGCUCACUGGACCCGAUCUGACACUGAUGUGCGAAAGCUAGGGUAGCAAACGGG
rnacentral:rRNA from 1 species